CCCUGGCCCGAAUGCAGGGAGAAGAGGGCAGAUCAAAUCUAAAGCAGGAACAACUUGUCCUUCUUGUACCAGGCAGGGUACAAAAUUCGGAGCAGGGCAGUUUCCCUUGAGAAGAUUACCAGCAGGAGUGAAACCGCAAGGGCAGCCGGCUGGUUACUACUGGGCGUGCACUCCUUUUUCAACCUGCGAUUCAUUGAAUUGAAAGAAUUCUAACCCCUCCUACCAAGAUGAUUCAGCUAAACUGACUGGUUGGAUUCAUUCAAGUUUUGCAACCCAUCACCCUAACUGGGCAGAUACAAGUCCUCCCCAUCAUUUUACUAACAGCUGAGGAAAGAUGACUAGUUUCAGACAAAACCAAUGAAGAGGCUCAAAGUUUGCAUCAAAAAAAUCCAGGGGUGGUGCUGCACCCAGCAGAAGCUACACCAUUGGUCGAGCCAGGCUGGGAUCCCAACAAUGGAGGGUUCCCUCAUUUGGAGCGUUAUUGAAGAUAUAUUCUGGAAGGAUUAAAGAAGGGGUCCCCAAACAAAGAAGUUGACAUAUGGUGCAAGCAGUACAACCAAAAGCUAAUGGGAAUCCUUCUGAGUUUUUGGAUUGGAUAUAUCUAGCAUGUAGAGAACAUACUGAUUUGGACCCACAGGCUCCAGAAAACAUAAGGAUGGUGAAUAUGGCGUUUAUUUUGCAGAGUGCCCCUGAUGUUAGGAAGAGACUGUAGAAAUUAGAUGGGGCACUAGGGGUAAAUCCCCCUCAAUUGGUGGACACUGCCUUUAAGGUUUACAAUGGAAGGGAACAUUGCAAGGCAGGGGCAGGGACUGCCUCCCUUAAUCAGGUUUGAGGGAGAUCCUCUGAGGAAGCAGAAAAUCUCGGGGGGCAAAGGCAAAGCCCCUUAGAUCCUAACCAAGGUGCACAUUGUAAAGAAGAGGGCCAUUGGGAAAAUGAAUACCCUGAGAAAAAUAAAGGCAGGCCGGGGCCCCAGAAGACGCCUCCCUCAGCCAAACUAAUGGCAGGAAGGGACCCAGCGUCUGAUGGGGACUGAUGGACCCCAGGCGCUCCCUUGGAUCCUGGACAGCUUCUGAACACUGCCCCCCGCCCCCGGCCCUACCCCAGGAGCCCCACGUAAAACUAACAGUAGAGGGUCAACCAACUGAAUUCCUAGUAAACACAGUGCUUAAUCAAAGACUGAUAAAACCUACUGCUCAAACUGUCCCUGUGACUGGUGUCUCAGGCCAAAAUGAGACACAGCAUUUUCUGAAAGCUUUGGAAUGUACUAUGGUAAAUCAACACUUGCCUCAUACUGCUUUUGGGUAGAGACCUUUUCACGAAAUUGCAUGCUCGGAUUACUUUGGCUCCAGAGGAUCGGCAAGUGCAUCUCCAGGUCCCUGUGUAGCGCCCUGUGGCUGCAAACGCUUCUCGCUGCUUUGGUUUCUCCUCUGCAGCCUACCUUCCCUCCAGAGAUCAAGAACAGGUGUAUGGCAGCUGACCUGAUUUAAAGGAUGAACCUUGGUCUGACCCAGAUUGCACUCUGUGCGUGGAUGGCAGCAGCUACCUGGAGAGAGAUUACCGCCGUACCAUAACUGUAGCCCUGGACCAGGUGACUGCACAGAUGAGGUACAAGACAUUGAGAAACUUGGACAAGAUCCUCUGACAGCUUGGUUUCACUCACUACUAACAGUGGGGAUUCAUAGGGGAAAUACAAAUAAAAUCCUUUUCAGGGCCAGUUGUGUUUUCUCUCCAUUAUAGUCUUAGAUGAUCACUAACAGAAUAUGUAACCAAUUAAUCAAUGUAUAUGUUUAAGCUUAUGUUCUGGCUGAGAUUUUGUUGCAGUUCACAGUUGACUAGGAAAGAACAAAGGGACUUUUAACUCUUCCCUGAACCUACGUGUCCCAUCCCCAGGAAUGUGGAGACUGAUCGACUGUGCCCCGGAAACACCCAGAAACACUGGGAUGACCCGCACCAGACCACCGCCUGACUGGCUUGGAGAUCCCUAUCAGAAUGCUCACCAUCCUGUUCCAUUCAUCAGGGCCAAAACCCGCUCAAGGACUCAAACUCCAAGACUGCACACCACCAGAACCCCUUGUGUGUGUUCCUCUCCACGGUCCCUUCCCCUCCUUCUCUCAUGUGAACCUGCCCUGACAAGCUUGAGGAAAGGCGGGUAUGAGGGAUGUUACUCACCACCUUCUCAGGUUGCCCGCAUCUGAUAUUAAUAUUAAAAGCACAAUUAUAAUCCAA